AGUUGUUCAUACAUACUCUAUUCUAGAUAUGAGGUUGACACAUUAUUGGGAUUUAAAGAAUUUUCUGUAACUAACUAAAUUUGGGAAAAAAGGAAAUAUUUAAAGCAUGAAUAACUAUUCAAUUGUUUAGUUGACUUGCAAACCCUAAGUCCAUGUCCCACUCAGUUGAGGCGAUUCCCUAUGUAGGAGAGAAAAGCAAGGAAG
rnacentral:misc_RNA from 1 species